rnacentral:rRNA from 1 species
GACGAACGCUGGCGGCGUGCCUAAUACAUGCAAGUAGAACGCUGAAGAGAGGAGCUUGCUCUUCUUGGAUGAGUUGCGAACGGGUGAGUAACGCGUAGGUAACCUGCCUUGUAGCGGGGGAUAACUAUUGGAAACGAUAGCUAAUACCGCAUAACAAUGGAUGACACAUGUCAUUUAUUUGAAAGGGGCAAUUGCUCCACUACAAGAUGGACCUGCGUUGUAUUAGCUAGUAGGUGAGGUAAUGGCUCACCUAGGCGACGAUACAUAGCCGACCUGAGAGGGUGAUCGGCCACACUGGGACUGAGACACGGCCCAGACUCCUACGGGAGGCAGCAGUAGGGAAUCUUCGGCGAUGGGGGCAACCCUGACCGAGCGACGCCGCGUGAGUGAAGAAGGUUUUCGGAUCGUAAAGCUCUGUUGUAAGUCAAGAUCGGGUGUGAGAGUGGAAAGUUCACACUGUGACGGUAGCUUACCAGAAAGGGACGGCUAACUACGUG